rnacentral:rRNA from 1 species
AGUGAACGCUGGCGGUAGGCCUAACACAUGCAAGUCGAACGGCAGCACAGUAAGAGCUUGCUCUUACGGGUGGCGAGUGGCGGACGGGUGAGGAAUACAUCGGAAUCUACUUUUUCGUGGGGGAUAACGUAGGGAAACUUACGCUAAUACCGCAUACGACCUACGGGUGAAAGCAGGGGAUCUUCGGACCUUGCGCGAUUGAUGGAGCCGAUGUCGGAUUAGCUAGUUGGCGGGGUAAAGGCCCACCAAGGCGACGAUCCGUAGCUGGUCUGAGAGGAUGAUCAGCCACACUGGAACUGAGACACGGUCCAGACUCCUACGGGAGGCAGCAGUGGGGAAUAUUGGACAAUGGGCGCAAGCCUGAUCCAGCCAUACCGCGUGGGUGAAGAAGGCCUUCGGGUUGUAAAGCCCUUUUGUUGGGAAAGAAAAGCAGCAGGUUAAUACCCCGCUGUUCUGACGGUACCCAAAGAAUAAGCACCGGCUAACUUCGU